rnacentral:rRNA from 1 species
UACGGGGGGGGCAAGCGUUGUUCGAAAUUACUGGGCGUAAAGGGCUCGUAGGCGGCCAACUAAGUCAGACGUGAAAUCCCUCGGCUUAACCGGGGAACUGCGUCUGAUACUGGAUGGCUUGAGUUCGGGAGAGGGAUGCGGAAUUCCAGGUGUAGCGGUGAAAUGCGCAGAUAUCGGGAGGAACACCUAUGGCGAAGGCAGCUCGCUGGGACGUUACUGACGCUGAGACGCGAAAGCGUGGGGAGCAAACAGG